rnacentral:rRNA from 1 species
AGCCCUAAGUGGGUGGUAAACUCCAUCUAAGGCUAAAUAUGACCACGAGACCGAUAGCGAACAAGUACCGUGAGGGAAAGUUGAAAAGCACUUUGAAGAGAGAGUUCAAGAGUACGUGAAACCGUUUAGGGGUAAACCUGAGAAACCCGAAAGGUCGAAGGGAGAAAUUCAUUCGCGUUUCGUCGUCGGCGUGAGACGGGGUGUAUUACGCGACGAGGGACGUUCGCGUCCUUCGCGCCCUCCGCUCUCGAUCCGGUCGACGAACGCGUGCACUUUUCUCCUGGUAGGACGUCGCGAUCCGUUGGGCGUCGGUUUACGGUUCGCGGUGGAGCCUCUUCGUACGGUUUACGCCGUUUACGUUGAGACCCGCGUGUCCCGGCCGACCCGCUCGACGGUAUACGAAAGGUUUAAGGCCGCUCCGUGAGAGCGUUCGACUCGCGGCAAGCGCGCCAGAUGAUUGUCGGCGAUCGAGCUUACGUAUCGAUUCUGACCUCUGGUGACUGUUGGCCGCGAAGUUCUCGAACAGACCUUUAACCGAUCUGCGACGCUAUAGCUUUGGGUACUUUCAG